ensembl:lncRNA
CUUCAAUUCAGAUUAAGCCUGGUGAACCUCUGGUGCUGGAUUUGCUCAUAUCAGAGUCAGUGGAGGUGAUUUAUAACAGCACAGAUGCAGCUGCUCCCUCUAGUGGACAGAUCUGCACAGUGGCUGGACACUCACUGAAGUGUAAACCUGAAUACACUCGGAGAGUGUCGCUCAUCUCUGCUGUGGAGCUGCAAGGAACCACACCAUCUGAUAGUGGAGUUUACAGCAUCAGAGACACUAAGCAUGAAGAGAUUAUACAGACAUGCACAGUUACUGUGGAAGAAGUCCAGCCAUGUCCCAAUCAGAGCUCCACAGUGACGGUGUUGACGGUGCUCCUGGCUCUGACGGGGGCGGGGCUUGUGGCAGCAGUGCUGGUGAUUGUGCAGCUGAGGAAAAAAAUUCAGGAGCUCCAGAAAGGAAGUACAGUGAAUGGAACAGUAGCCAUGACAACAGAGGAGUUAAUAUGAAUGGACUAAACCACUCAGAUGAAGAGCAGAGGUGAUCUCCCAGUAAUAACCAUGAGAAAGUCUGAGAGAAGAUAAAUGACUUCGCUCUCUUAUACACACACUCACACACACACACACACACACACAUAUGUACCCACACUGCCUUUCUCUGUACCAUUCAGGGGUUAAAGAUCAAUGUAUGUUCAGUCAUACAUGAUCAGAGUUUUAUGACGUUAGCACUCCUGAACUCACCUGGUAGAGCAGGUACAGUAAGAUACAUCUCCAGAAUCAUGGGUUUGAUCCUCAGAGAGCACACAUGAUGUCAUACUGAUAAACAUACAUCAGUCACUAUAAGAGCAUCUGCCCAGUACUGUAAAUGUAAUGUAAAAAUGUAAUAUAAAGCUGUUUAUGUAAAUAUUACUAUGAGAUCCUGUGAUGUAAUUUAAUGCACAUAUAAAUACUUUUGUGUCAAGUCGUGGAAAAACAGGUAUUUUUUUUCUGUAGCAUCUUUUACAUUUUAGUUGCCUUUUAUUUAAGAGUCUCCCCUUAUUGUCCAGGUUAUAUUUUCAAGAGUUCUCUUGUGGUCUUGGUGAUUAUGGUCAGUUGUUGUGGUUGGUUUUCCCAAUGCUGUAAUGCUGCAUUAAUUUCAAAGCAUUCUGCUCAAUAAGUAGCUAAGGUUUGCCUGCCCAGGUAAAGCAAUCUCCAAUAUUAAGUAAAUCAGACAUGUAUUAUGGAAACAGGCCUGCUUCAUGUCAUUUGGUUUUGAGCAAGGUUGACAGACCCUGUGGUGUUUACUGUUUUUAUCAGCUGGCUAUUAUUAAAUGAAGUAAUUAAGUGAAGUAAUCUGUCUAAGGGCAAGAUCAGUUCACUAGAGUUAGAGCCGGGAUGCAUAUAGAUAACAAGAUGAAUCAACAGGCAUUAAGUAACUAGAAAGUAAAGACUGUAAACAGUGAGUUGUAUUAGAAUCAGUAGAGUUGUCAUUAAGUGCAGAUAUGUGCUUAACUACGUUUAUUUUAUGAGUGUAAUAAGCUGAACAUUUGACAAGUUUCAUGCUUGUACCUUUAAACCUUUAAGGAUCAGUAUCAAAAUAAAUGGUUCCAAAGGGAGGAUGAAGGCAUUAAUGAAAGGAGAGGAGAGAAGGAGUACAGAGACUGGUGCUGCUGGUAUAAUAUGUAGUUUGGAUGUCACGGAACGUUCGACUCCCGCGAGUCAUGUGGUUUGGCCCGCCAUGUGCAGUGGGAGGAUCCUCAUUUGUGGCCACACCUGCACCUCAUUUGUUUAUAUGUAUUUAAACCCUCGUCAUAGUGUGCAAGAUCGUUGGUCAUUGUGGAUGUAAUGUCUUAAUGUCAUGGUUAAUGUUCUUGUCAUCGUUAAACGUAUGCGUGUUUGUGCUUGUUUCAUGUAAAAUUUUGCUCAUGAAUAUUAAUGAGGUGUUUCUGCUCUGUGCCUCUGUAAAUCCAACUGCUUCUCUUGCAGUGCCUUAUGGGUAAAAACCUGCCAUGUGUUUUUAUCUCAGACAUAUAAGAUGUAAUGCGUUUAUUUUAUGGAAC